GGAACGGUCGCCUAGCGGUCCAUGGCACCUGUUUGGAGAACAGGCAGUGGUGUGAUGCCAUCGCGAGUUCGAAUCUCGCCCGUUCCG
rnacentral:tRNA from 1 species